CGUAGGGUGCGAGCGUUAAUCGGAAUUACUGGGCGUAAAGUGUGCGCAGGCGGCUCCGCAAGUCGAGUGUGAAAUCCCCGAGCUUAACUUGGGAAUUGCGCUCGAAACUACGGAACUGGAGUGUGGCAGAGGAAGGUGGAACUCCACGUGUAGCGGUGAAAUGCGUAGAGAUGUGGAGGAACACCGAUGGCGAAGGCAGCCUUCUGGGCCAACACUGACGCUCAUGCACGAAAGCGUGGGGAGCAAACAGGAUUAGAUACCCUGGUAGUCCACGCCCUAAACGAUGAUGACUAGUUGUUGGAGGAGUUAAAUCCUUUAGUAACGCAGCUAACGCGUGAAGUCAUCCGCCUGGGGAGUACGGUCGCAAGAUUA
rnacentral:rRNA from 1 species